rnacentral:rRNA from 1 species
GACGAACGCUGGCGGCGUGCCUAAUACAUGCAAGUAGAACGCUGAAGAGAGGAGCUUGCUCUUCUUGGACGAGUUGCGAACGGGUGAGUAACGCGUAGGUAACCUGCCUUGUAGCGGGGGAUAACUAUUGGAAACGAUAGCUAAUACCGCAUAACAAUAGGUGACACAUGUCAUUUAUUUGAAAGGGGCAAUUGCUCCACUACAAGAUGGACCUGCGUUGUAUUAGCUAGUAGGUGAGGUAACGGCUCACCUAGGCGACGAUACAUAGCCGACCUGAGAGGGUGAUCGGCCACACUGGGACUGAGACACGGCCCAGACUCCUACGGGAGGCAGCAGUAAGGAAUCUUCGGCAAUGGGGGCAACCCUGACCGAGCAACGCCGCGUGAGUGAAGAAGGUUUUCGGAUCGUAAAGCUCUGUUGUAAGUCAAGAACGAGUGUGAGAGUGGAAAGUUCACACUGUGACGGUAGCUUACCAGAAAGGGACGGCUAACUACGUGCCAGCAGCCGCGGUAAUACGUAGGUCCCGAGCGUUGUCCGGAUUUAUUGGGCGUAAAGCGAGCGCAGGCGGUUUGAUAAGUCUGAAGUUAAAGGCUGUGGCUCAACCAUAGUUCGCUUUGGAAACUGUCAAACUUGAGUGCAGAAGGGGAGAGUGGAAUUCCAUGUGUAGCGGUGAAAUGCGUAGAUAUAUGGAGGAACACCGGUGGCGAAAGCGGCUCUCUGGUCUGUAACUGACGCUGAGGCUCGAAAGCGUGGGGAGCGAACAGG